CAGUAGCCGCGGUAAUCCGUAGGGGGCAAGCGUUAUCCGGAAUAACUGGGCGUAAAGGGUGCGCAGGUGGUUUAACAAGUUAGUGGUGAAAGGCAUAGGCUCAACCAAUGUAAGCCAUUAAAACUGUUUAACUUGAGUGCAGGAGAGGAAAGUGGAAUUCCUAGUGUAGCGGUGAAAUGCGUUGAUAUUAGGAGGAAUACCAGUGGCGAAGGCGACUUUCUGGACUGCAACUGACACUGAGGCACGAAAGCGUGGGGAGCAAACAGGAUUAGAUACCCCUGUAGUCCCUGUCUCUUAUACA
rnacentral:rRNA from 1 species